rnacentral:rRNA from 1 species
GGGGCAGCCUACAUGCAGUCGAGCGAGCUUGCCUAGAUGAUUUUAGUGCUUGCACUAAAUGAAACUAGAUACAAGCGAGCGGCGGACGGGUGAGUAACACGUGGGUAACCUGCCCAAGAGACUGGGAUAACACCUGGAAACAGAUGCUAAUACCGGAUAACAACGCUAGACGCAUGUCUAGAGUUUGAAAGAUGGUUCUGCUAUCACUCUUGGAUGGACCUGCGGUGCAUUAGCUAGUUGGUAAGGUAACGGCUUACCAAGGCAAUGAUGCAUAGCCGAGUUGAGAGACUGAUCGGCCACAUUGGGACUGAGACACGGCCCAAACUCCUACGGGAGGCAGCAGUAGGGAAUCUUCCACAAUGGACGAAAGUCUGAUGGAGCAACGCCGCGUGAGUGAAGAAGGGUUUCGGCUCGUAAAGCUCUGUUGGUAGUGAAGAAAGAUAGAGGUAGUAACUGGCCUUUAUUUGACGGUAAUUACUUAGAAAGUCACGGCUAACUACGUGCCAGCAGCCGCGGUAAUACGUAGGUGGCAAGCGUUGUCCGGAUUUAUUGGGCGUAAAGCGAGUGCAGGCGGUUCAAUAAGUCUGAUGUGAAAGCCUUCGGCUCAACCGGAGAAUUGCAUCAGAAACUGUUGAACUUGAGUGCAGAAGAGGAGAGUGGAACUCCAUGUGUAGCGGUGGAAUGCGUAGAUAUAUGGAAGAACACCAGUGGCGAAGGCGGCUCUCUGGUCUGCAACUGACGCUGAGGCUCG